UAUUUGGACAAUGGGCGCAAGCGGGAUACUGACAUACCGGGUGAGUGAGACGGCCCUAGGUUAUAAAGCUCUUUCAACGGGAAGUUAAUGGCGGAGCCGUAGAAGAAGUCCCGUCUAACUUCGUGCCCGCAGCCGCGGUAAUACGAAAAGGAAUAGCGUUGUUCAGAAUAACUGGGCGUAAAGCGCACGUGGGGGGAUUUUUAAGUUAGGGGUGAAAUCCCAGGGCUCAACCCUGGAAGUGCCUGUGAUACUGGUAAUCUAGAGUUCGAGAGAGGUGAGGGAAUUCCGAGUGUAGAGGUAAAAUUCGUAGAAUUGAGAGGAACACCAGUGGCGAAGGCGGCUCACUGGCUCGAUUUGACGUGAGGUGCGAAAGCGUGGGGAGAAUACGGGAUAGAUACCCUGGAGUCACGCA
rnacentral:rRNA from 1 species